rnacentral:rRNA from 1 species
AUGCAGGCAAAUUGCUCCCUCUGCAAAGAAACCUUAGGGCCGGAGAUACUUGAUCUUCAUAAAAGUGAACAGUGCACACAGAGGAUGGUUGUGUGUGGAUAUUGUGAUUACGAAUUGCCUGCAAUUGAUAUUCAAGAACAUCAGGAUGUAUGUGGAAACCGAAGAGAGUUUUGUCAAACAUGCAAGAAGUAUAUUAGACUUCGUGAAUGGAUAGGGCACGAAAUGCAGUGCCACGUUAGCUCAUAUGGUUCUGGAGAAUCAUCAAGUGCCAGAACCAUUCCAGAGAGAGAAGUGCGGCCUCCUCCACUGGUACGACCAGUGCGUGCUGUGCUUGCUGCACAACACAGGCGGCUUCUCCUUACGAUUGCGGUAACUGGAAUCGCCGUCAUGGUUGGAUCAAUACUGUUCCAGAAGGAGGAGAGUUUCUAG